GGGGGAUUUAAGUAACAAAGGAAUAGUCUCUGAGUAACCUGCAUCAGAGAAGAGGUAAGAGAAACCAACUCCAGCUAAUUUACUGGAAGAAUAUGGGGUGGCUCACAGACUUGAAGAAAAAAAUGAAGACUAGAUCUUUGGAAAAACACAAACCAGGACAGCUGUGGUUCCACAAAGCAAGAACUAAUGAAUCGUUUCUUUGAGACAUGAAACAGAAUCCCAUUGGUUUUUAGGCUCUACAAGUCCCCAGAGACAGGGCCUUUGGUGUAGCUUGGCUCACUGCUUACCUCUCUGCCACUUGAAGAAGGAGCCUGUGAACUGAUAGCCCAUCAGGACAGUGCCCAGUGGGGCAGGGGCUCAUCCCCCAAAGUAAAAUUGAGGCACUAUUAACAGAAGAAGAGUGAAAGGCCCCUAGGCAGGCCAAACCAACUGAUAACCACGGAAGGCAUCUGAGGAACCAGGAAAUUUAGGAGCAGGAAGAAGAUCUGUACUUGGGGUUUUCUUAGAGCCUCCUGAUGCCCUCUCCUCCUUCCUUCCCGCUCUGUAUCUAACCUGGGGUCAUUGGCCCUCUAUUUUUCACUUUUCAUUUUAUGCUGAUGCAGAUCAUGUACAAUUAUAGAUGGUUUUCCAUCAGUGUCUCAUUGCACCAAGAUCAGUAAGAAAUUAUUCAAAAUUUGGGAGGAGUAGGAGUGGAAGAAUCAACAUUCAAUGGCACCCGAGCAAAACAGAGACAAAUAAAGGCAUGGUUUGCCGUGUCUGCAUUUAAACAAGUAUUUUGCUAUGUCUGUGUCUGUAUAGGCAAUGGACACGAUUCGUGGAUUUUCCAAGUCUGAUUCCAUGGCUCAGUUGAUCUCCUUUUGUUUAAUUCAUCAAGUGACUUCUAAUUUAUAAUGUUUUCUCCCUUUGUCUUAAUAUGAUGACAGGUCUUGAAGAAACCUUACACAGAAAUGUCAUAUUAUCUGGAUGCCCACAAUGUAAAAGCACCCUCUGCAUUCUGAAUAAUUCAUUUCAAGAAAUACAUGUCGAAUGCUUACCAUGUGCCAGGUGCUGGACUAGGUAAAGAUGUCUUGCCACCAAGAGCACCUCAAAGUUGUUGAAUCUGCUGAAUGUACCCUGAAUGGAUUACAUGCUGCCUUUCCUGCUUCUCCUCUGCCCGCCACAGGUCAUCAUGCCUGCUUAGCAACACCUAGUGGUCAACAAAGGGAACUGUCUGAAUCAAUGACAUGUUUAGGUCUUUCUUUUCUUACCAGUUAGAGCAAAUGUUCUUCUGCCCUGUCAGAUCUCGUUCCCAGAUCAAAUAAUUACAACCUCUUCUGAUGUCUUUUU